UAAGGAAUAUUGGUCAAUGGACGCAAGUCUGAACCAGCCAUGCCGCGUGGAGGAUGAAGGUCCUCUGGAUUGUAAACUUCUUUUUUCUGGGAAGAAAUGCAGGAAUUCUUUCUUGUUUGACGGUACUAGAAGAAUAAGCACCGGCUAACUCCGUGCCAGCAGCCGCGGUAAUACGGAGGGUGCAAGCGUUAUCCGGAUUCACUGGGUUUAAAGGGUGCGUAGGUGGGCUGGUAAGUCAGUGGUGAAAUCUCCGGGCUUAACCCGGAAACUGCCAUUGAUACUACUGGUCUUGAAUGUCGUGGAGGUGAGCGGAAUAUGUCAUGUAGCGGUGAAAUGCUUAGAUAUGACAUAGAACACCAAUUGCGAAGGCAGCUCACUACACGGAUAUUGACACUGAGGCACGAAAGCGUGGGGAUCAAACAGG
rnacentral:rRNA from 1 species